AGUCUGACGGAGCAACGCCGCGUGAGUGAUGAAGGCUUUCGGGUCGUAAAACUCUGUUGUUAGGGAAGAACAAGUACRAGAAGAACUGCUUGUACCUUGACGGUACCUAACCAGAAAGCCACGGCUAACUACGUGCCAGCAGCCGCGGUAAUACGUAGGUGGCAAGCGUUAUCCGGAAUUAUUGGGCGUAAAGCGCGCGCAGGCGGUUUCUUAAGUCUGAUGUGAAAGCCCACGGCUCAACCGUGGAGGGUCAUUGGAAACUGGGGAACUUGAGUGCAGAAGAGAAAAGCGGAAUUCCACGUGUAGCGGUGAAAUGCGUAGAGAUGUGGAGGAACACCAGUGGCGAAGGCGGCUUUUUGGUCUGUAACUGACGCUGAGGCGCGAAAGCGUGGGGAGCAAACAGGAUUAGAUACCCUGGUAGUCCACGCCGUAAACGAUGAGUGCUAAGUGUUAGAGGGUUUCCGCCCUUUAGUGCUGCAGCUAACGCAUUAAGCACUCCGCCUGG
rnacentral:rRNA from 2 species